CUCCAUCGAUAUAUGCAUUGCUUUAACAAAUCAGGAUUAGAAAAAGAACAUUAUUAUAUGAUGUAAGCACAUUGACUCGCCCGUAAAGGUUUCAUCGAGAAGUACUCGGCCAUUCAUAUUGCCCGAGAGAAGAAGCAGCAGCCACCAUUUUCGUGUGAUCAUCACACUAUAAGAGGUCUAGUGUCUCUACAUCAGGUUCAAGCAGCCCUGUGAUACCAAACACACUGCAAGUCCAAGCAGACCUGGAAGCGAUCAAAUCUUCAUUGCUCAAAGAAAGUGCUACUGCUUCUGCACAACCAUAUGAUCUUUCAGUGUUAGCUGAUACCGAUUUGUCAAACUACCCUGCGGAGGUUCCUGCAGUUGAUGACUCCGACAAACCAUAAUGUUAAUUGAUUUUAGUAGGUAGCGGAAGCGAAGCUACGAGGUCUUGAACUGCACUCCACCGGCUGUUCUUUGCUGCUGUGUUUGCAAAACUGGGAAGCCUACAGUUUCCCGUUGCUUCAGUGAAAGGUAAAUACUACUAUACCUUCAAUGAUUUUGCUUCUCGCUUGAAUGCUAGUCAGGAUUGUGAGCAUGUUUGUACAUUUUCUUUUAGUGUCAUUUAAUGGAAUACCUGCAAUGAUUUAUUUGUUGGUUGAAUGCUGGUGAGGAUUGUGAAUGCUGACAUGUGUGAUCGUUUUCUACCAUUGUCACUUGUUGUCAAGACUAAAUGAUGGUGCCUGUCGAUCGAGUUACCCCAUUCUUGCUGCUUCAUGUGACUGUUUUCCUAGCAUUACUAAUAGCCAGGAUCGAAAUAGCGUGUAUAUUUCUUGCCAAGAGAGCAUUUACUCGAACAUACAUGUGAUCUAACACCUCGAGUUGUAACACCUAAUGUCCGGUGUGGAGCAGUAAUAAACAUUUUUGUCUGUAUGUAUAUGUUCAUGUCUUUUAUUUUUAAUAUAAUACUUGUAUAUGUCCGUAUGUUUUAUUUUUAUUCAUAUUUUGGGCUACAUUAGGCUUAAUAGUCUCCAUUUAGUUGACUUUUGUGGUCAUUUCAGGUUUGUAAACAUAAGUUAUGUAUAGUCAUUACGUAGAGGCAAAAUUGUCCAGAAAUAAGUCAUCCAAAUAAUUAUUUUAAGGGUUUUCUAGCUCUACAGAGUGGUACGGAAUGUCAGCUAGUAUAACACCUAGGAGCUACCCAGGUGGCACAUGGCUAGAUGGGUAUUUGGAGUGGUGUCUAGGGCUGGAUUACCACAUUAUUCUAUGGUAGUGUCAUGUAGUCAUUUGCAGGGACUUUCGACUAUAGUGAACCACCUCAGACUAUUUCUCAUGUAAUCAUUCAGACCCUUCAAAGUCUAUGUUUAUAAUUUGCAUUACCUAUCAAGUAUUUGUUGAAAUUGCUACUUAUGGAUUCUAAGUUAAACGCUUUUUCUAACCCGUCUUUUUUGCAUAUCACAAGAGGUUUCGGGAAGGUUGACCCUUUAGGGAUGGAUACGCAAAAGUGCCGCACAACUUAGGGAUAGCUACCUAAGUCCAUGACAAAUUAUAUUAUAGUGGAAUAGGCACACUUAAAAAUACUUGGUAUAAAAAUGUGAGAGACCUAGCUAGGUGGCGUUGAGGGCAGCCAACACACAUAACCAUUUGCGAGAAACGGGUGUUGAGAUGUAGGGAAAGGAGUUGCUUAGAAGAGCAAGUAUCUGAAAUUGACAUUCAAAGGAAUAGCUAACCCUUUGCCCGAGAGGCUUCACGAGGACAAUCGAGCUGGAAAGAACAUAACAUACAAAAGUUGGGAUGGUUGAAUUCGAGCUACGACUCGACAUGGUAACCAAACUUAAUGGUACUUAAGGUAAGUGAGGUGUUUAGCAAAGGAUGAGAUCGUGAAAGGUGAGGUGAGUUGCUCAACGAUCGAAAGAGUUAUGCAAAACUCACAGAGGUGAGGGGAAUUGUUAAUUCAAAAAAUUCGGUAUCCAUGCAAAGGCUUGUAUGUACACAAUGGGCUGUCUAUAACCAUCCCAAGGCAAUUAAAACUUUGACGCUACGGAACAUUAAAACUUUUCCUUCAACAUGGGGAGGAUACAUCUAGAGAAAGCUAAAAUGUGUAGCAAGUUCAAUAUAUUACUAGGCCUUGAGGAGAAUAACAGGGGUUGCAUUGACGAAGAGUCAUAAUCUAGUAAGUUUGUUUAUAGGGAUAGAAUAGUGCAUAGUUUGUUUAGCAUGGCUGAGUAGUUUAAGAGGAUAGUGGUCUCCAAAACUUUUGGAGGGAAAGAUGCGAAAAAUUACUCCAAUAAGAGAGAUAUCCAAGAGGGAUAAGUCUCGAUUUGUCAGAUGGAGAAUCAUAUAUAACAAACUAUACAGAGGAGGGGUACCUCAAGACAAUAACUCUACAAAGCUCAACAAACUGAGUGAACGACGAGGAGUCAUCACAUGAUCUCACACGUAAUGUGUUAAGGAACGCAUUGCACGAUCAAGUGGGGGAGUGAUCCAAGAUAACAACAAACGAAGACACUUAGAAUCGAUAUGAAAAUCAGACUCAACAGUGUGUUGACCCGUGGAAUAAUGGGUGUGAAGGUCAUACUCAACUCAAUAUAAAAUGAGGAGUAGAGAUGAAGGGCAUAAAGUUUAUCCAAGAAAGAUUCAAAAUGCAAUAGGGAUUCACGGGAAAGAGACAUAGUGCAAUGGACCAUGAUAGAAUAAUUUGAGACAAUGCAACAUAUGAAAAUUUUUUUUACCUUCUUAACUCAUAAAGAGAAUGAACAAAAUAGAAUAUCCCGUAUCUCUUAAUUAUCUAACAAAAAGUUCAAAAAUAAUAUGAAAAAGGUACAAAUGGCAAGCCUGAAGUAAGAGUUCGGCGACCAUCAGAACGCCGGCAACGCCGUCAUUCCCACUUGGUUUGAAUCGUACCCGUGUGCUUGAAGUCAACUAUCAAGGCCGAGCUUCCAUCCAUCCUCCUCACCACAAACCUCUCCACCAACACGUAGCACCCAAAUUUCUUCCACGGGCUCACCCCUCCGUACUCCUCCGACCUCUCCACCUUCACUUCACCGCCGACCCACCCUCCCCUCCCCUGCUCCCACCUCAUUCUCUCCCAUACCGGGGAGCUCAGCCCCACCCUCUCUCCCUCCAAAUCAAGCGGCUUGUACCACACCACGCCGUCCUGUCCACCUGCGCCGUCUCGCGUCGCCUCCACGCCACCCAACACCGCGCCCUCCGCCCCAACAGUAGCCUUCACUUCCACGGUCCUCCGAUCGCCAUACAAGUUCUCGCACGCGAACACCUGUUCCCAGCGCUGCUCGAGGGUGAUAUCGUAGAAAGCCGAGCGCUCCAUUUGACGCCGCAGGCUAUCUCCUUCCUUCACGAACACGCAGGGGGCGUACCACCUCCCCACGACCAAACCGGCACCACCUGCGCCAGAUAUCGGCAACUCCAACGCGGGCGUGCGGGCACGAAGGGCUUUGUCAAGCCCCCAGGCGUCGGUCAAGUCGAAGUCCGUGGGCUUCGAAGCAUAAAGCUCCCAGUACUUACUCCUCAGUGGCCAUGGAGCGAACCCAUCCGGAGCUACGGACUGCGCGGUGAACCUGCCUCUCUUGCAGACGAUCUCCACCUGCUGGUAGAUGUCCCUGUGAUCGAACUCUCUCGGCUUGACAUCGUUGACGCUCCGGCAGAAGCAGCAUGUGGUCAUGUCUUCCUCCAGGGAGCAUGUAUACGCUUUCCUGCACAUACAGUCGAAAUCCACCCGACAUUGUUGUGAGAAAACUACGGGAGGGAGGGAAGGAGAUCGAGAGAGGUGCGCCACCCUUUCUUUUUGCCCUUUGCGACGAUGACGUAGUAGUGAUUGGAGGAGAGCGAUUUGUCGAGGACGGGGAUGAACAGGGCCGGCAACUGCCAUGUGUGAGUGCCCUCCGUGUAGGUGAUGGUGAGGAUCCUGUUCUGGGGGAAGGGGAGCUCUCGAACCCUCGUGUCUUCACAGAGCCCCCAGCAGCAUGAGGGGUUUGGUUCAGCUCCCUCGUCCUGGAGAAGCAGAUAGCCUGAGUUGGGCCCUGCCGGUGGUGGUGGUUGAAUGGCGGCAGCACCAGCAGAGUUCUUGAAGACGGAGAGCGGCCUCGUCGUGUACAUCUCCUCGGCCCUGGUUGUUCCCGGAGAUGAGGUUUGUGGAGGUGAAGAUGGCUCUGGUACUGCUACUAAUACACCAAGAUCUCGCGUUUUUUCUCCGAUAUUUCACAGCAGAUCUUUCAAAUCUUUCGUCUGUUGUGGAAAUAUCUGGCUGUGGCUUGUUGGUCAAGAUGUCGUCCAUUGAUGAAAUCUUCUAAGAAGCUGACCUUUGGUAGCUGAUAACAAUGCCGUGGCGCUGUCAGGAAGCGACAGAGAUCUGUCGGCAUCAUAUUUAAUGCUUCUUUUUCUGAAAAUAUUGACAUCUAACCUUACAAUUUGAGUCAUCGUAGCAUAAGAUGAUUGCUUCUCCUUUUCAUCUUCGUAUCAGAGAGGUUCUAUCUGCAUCUUCGUGGAGAUGGUUCCCAAACAAUCAACCGCAAGACAGCUUCGAAGAAAGAAAUCGGUUCACCAAUCAUUAAAGCAACAUGGAGAGCUUCCUAACAACUGCUAAAAGAAGAAAUAGUAAAAGGUCAGCUUCUUUUGCUUGCGAGGUCAUCGUUAUACGGUCCGAGAGAGAGGGAGAGACACAGAGAGAGAAGCCUAGACAAAACCAAAGAGAUGAUGAUAAGGUUCGAAAAGUCCGCGUACUUGAUAUGAGGUGAUGGCAGUCACUGGCAGCGCCAUGCGUUCAACAACAUACCGGAGGAUGCGCUCAUCUCUCUCCGUGUGAUCGUAGCGUUGACCAGCUUCCCUCCGAGUUGCGUCUGAGAAGCUGCGGAGAUCACAGAACCUGCACCAAACUAACGGUAGAAGAUAAGCCACCACAUUAAAGACCUGCUUGUUUGCAGUUCCAGCAGUCUCUCAUCUUCACAUGGAGCUCAUAGUGCCGGAGUCGCGAUCGACGAGUCUUAGCAUCCUAAAAUCUGAAACAUGACAGAUGAAAUAAUAUUCAACAAUGUUCAAUGUAAAGCAGUAUCGAACCUCCCUUGGAUAUACCGUAAAAUGAUGAAAUAAUAUUCAACAAUGUUCAAUGUAAAGAAUUGUUGCUGCAACGAAAAAUCCAACAACUAAUUUGUCAAAGAGGUUACCACAAGAAAGUAAAGAAAGCUCAUGAAAUUGAUGAGGCAGAUAAUACAAAACUCUUAUUUCCUCAUAUUUCUUGAGGAUGCCAGCUAUAUAUUUUGAGCAACUAAAAUCCUCAUCUAAAAGAAUUAUUUUUGAAGUAAUAAGAACUAAUUUAUUGACAUACUUUUCUAUUUUGGAAAAGAAAUACAAACCCUUCCUGCAUCAUUGGUCCAGCCACACAGGAAAAACAUCAAAAAGAAAAACACAACACCUCUGCUAGCACAACCUUACUAUAAUCUCCAAAAGAACACUCAUCCAUUUGUUAAUAAAGUAAAGGAAUCCUUAUACUUUCACUCAAAUGUCCCAAAUAACAAUGAACAAAUAAUAGAUUUCACAGAUAUAACAACAUGAAAACAAAUAAAGAGAAGUUGAAAUUGUUUGUAUGUAGGGAUUACUCUUUCUUUUUUUAUUCUUUAUUUGAUUAUAAAAUCUAAAACAAUGAUCGAUGCCUUUUUUUUUUUUUUUUUUCUUUCCACAAGUUACUGCUCUAAAGUUCUGAAGCUAGACUCUUUUUUUUAAGAAUACAACCUUUUGAUAUUUAGAAACUUAAAGAUGCAAUAAUAAGGAAUCCUAGACACUGGAUCACCUCAAAAGUUCUGAAGUUGUUAAGCUAAAUCUUUUCUAUAAAAAAGCAACCUUUUGAGAUUUAACUGAAAGAUACAAUAAUGAGGAUUCCUACAAUGAAGACAGUGCAUCACCUACAAAAUAUUAUUAUUAUUAUUAUUGUGAUAAACUGUCAAGAUCUUUAUCUGAAAAAAGAAGAAGAUAAUCUUAUAAAAUUAACACUACGACCCAUUAUAUAGAUUAAAUAAAAAAAAGAAAGGAUUAACACAAUUGUAUGCGCAACUCAAAAUUUGACAUGAUUUACAUGUAAAAAGUAACAUUAUAAUAAAUUGUGAUGUGGUGUACUGGACAGUCUUUACAUGUAUUAGCAGAACAAGCAUAGGAAGUCUUUAUCUACAAAAAUAGAAAAGUAGUUAGAUAUGUUCUCCUUUGUUCCCCCGUGCGAAAACAAGUUCAGUCAUUCUCAAGCAGCCAAAAUGUUUUUUUGUCUCUCAUAGAUUAUAUUAUCCUUCACACUCUCAAUUAAAGUGGUUCAGGGACAGUUGUUCAGAAACACGUCCACAACACAACCUUUUAAUUCUCUUAAUUUAGAGGUAUAUUGACUAAUCAUUUAUCUCGAAAUUGAAGAUUAUUUUGUGUGUAAAAAGUCAUUAAUUCACGAAGCAUUCAGUCGAACACUUUGAGCUCAUAUCGGGAGACAUGUACUUUCUGCUGAUCCGAAAGUCACCUAUCACAUAUUAGAACCCUACAGUUCCAGUAAUGCUACAACAUAAGUGUUGAUUUCACAUGGAUUUGAUCGCGGGAAAGAACAAGAACGCACCACCAAGAUUCAAGCCAUUCGAAAUCAAGAAAGCUAAAAAGGCAAGAACACCACACCACCACCUCUUCUGUGCGACAUAAGAUGCACGAACACACAAUCUUGAGAAAGGCAAGGAACAUGGGGAGGCGAAGAAAGGGACGGACUUGCCUGGUUCUUCUCGGUGAGACCGGACACGAUCCACCGCCGUCGUGUCCGCAUCGGCCCCUCCACCCUGGAUCGAGGCACAGGAGCAGACCGAUCUGACCGCGAUCGCGGAUAAGCCGCACGUCACAUCAGUUUAUGGCACCCUAAUCCCUGGAGAGUACCCACGCCUCGGAGCCCACAAAGCCCUCCCAUUCUCCCACAUCCAAAUGUGGCUUGGAGCCACCGUCACCCUCCCUCAUCGACGCUCCAUCGUCCCAAAUUACUUUGGUCAUUCUCCUCGAUGCCAGCGCAUUCUUGGAAGACGAUAGCUUUAAGCAUUGAGCUGCUCUGCACAUGCAUCUCACGUGAUACGUUUUCUUCUAUUUGGAACAAGAUGCUAGUGGACUCAUGUUCUCGGUUUGAUUUGGUUCAUUUCGAUUGGACCCGGUUCAGAUCGACCGGUUGGAUCCAAUCUGACGGCUAUGAUUCUUUCAGAUUCUACUAAUGUAGUGAUGAGAAAUCUUUCUUUAUCCAUUAUUUUCAUUGUAUUACUCCACCAAAUACAAUUUUGACCAGUCAAUGCUUAAACAGACCAAUCAUCUCCAUCGAUAUAUGCAUUGCUUUAGGAAAUCAGGAUUAGAAAAAGAGCAUUAUUAUAUAAUGUAAGCACAUUGACUCGCCUGUAAAGGUUUCAUCGAGAAGUACUCGGCCAUUCAUAUUGCCCGAGAGAAGAAGCAGCAGCCACCAUUUUCGUGUGAUCAUCACACUAUAAGAGGUCAAAGAUAGUACAGAUCCGUAAACUUAUGAGCCGUAGAAGGAGCAGUAGCCAUACACCGACUUCCCAUCUCCAUCUCGUCUUCUUCAUCAGUGUGAGGAGGACGAGUAUGGCGCCCUCAUUUGAGACUUUCCAUGAGUGGCAGCACAGGAUGAGUGAGAGAGUGUAUGUGUACGGGAAGAGCCUAUAGGACUAGGCGUACUUACGCCGGCAAAUGAGCAUGGUGAUGCAGAUUCUCAUGAUGUACAGCUUCCCCUUCUGUUGCCUCACCAUCCUUCUCCACUUCUGCAGCCUCUCCAUCCUCCGCCAGUUCAUGCUGAACUCUCCGAGGAAGACAAUAAACAGAAGCAGCAGCAUGAUGGCGAUAUAUAUAGCCGAAAAGAAAGGAGAGAGACAGAGAGAGGAACCUUUCCCCAUCUCUUGUCUAUGAUCUGUUCCUUGCACUCGGCUGUGGCUCAGGUUGGUCAUCAUCUACAGAUUCUACUCCAAGUCGCUGUCCGAGGAUUGGUGUAUGCCAAGGGCGUGCAAGACGAUUUUGGACCGGAGCAUCGAGGGACCCUCUGCCUGCCAGCUUCAUCCCGUGUUCACGUGCUACCUUUCUCGCAUCUUCUUCGGUCCUUUUCGCUGCCGCAUGAAGCCAAACCGAUCGUUGCCGUCACCGAGGAACAUGAAUGAGUUUUGAAUUCUGAGCUCCAGAGAGACAAAGAGAGAAGGAAGUCGGGUAUGCAGCGAACGAGGUUGAAGAAGCAUUGGAAUAUGAUGCCUUCUGGCGCAAGUAACGCAUGCAUGUUUGUCUAUGUUGGUCAUAUAUAUCCAGAGAAGGGUUGCGAUGAGAGUUACUAAGCUUCACGUAAUUGUCAUUUGUGCCUAUCAAUCAAAGCAAUUUGUAGUACUUCAAGAAAAUAUCAAGAACUGCACCUGUGACCACUGA
rnacentral:lncRNA from 1 species